AGCGAACGCUGGCGGCAUGCCUAACACAUGCAAGUCGAACGAGACCUUCGGGUCUAGGGGCGCACGGGUGCGUAACGCGGGGUAACCUGCCCUUAGGUUCGGAAUAACUCCCCGAAAGGGGUGCUAAUACCGGAUAAUGUCUUCGGACCAAAGAUUUAUCGCCCUUGGCUGGGCCCGCGUUGGAUUAGCUAGUUGGUAGGGUAAAAGCCUACCAAGGCGACGAUCCAUAGCUGGUCUGAGAGGAUGAUCAGCCACACUGGGACUGAGACACGGCCCAGACUCCUACGGGAGGCAGCAGUGGGGACUAUUGGACAACGGGCGAAAGCCUGAUCCAGCAAUGCCGCGUGAGUGAUGAAGGCCUUAGGGUUGUAAAGCUCUUUUACCCGGGAUGAUAAUGACAGUACCGGGAGAAUAAGCUCCGGCUAACUCCGUG
rnacentral:rRNA from 1 species